GUAGAGAGGAGAGGGUGUUAUGUAGAGAGGAGAGGGAGUUAUAUAGAGAGAGGAGAGGGUGUUAUAUAGAGAGAGGAGAGGGUGUUAUAUAGAGAGAGGAGAGGGUGUUAUAUAGAGAGAGGAGAUGGUGUUAUAUAGAGAGAGGAGAGGGAGUUAUAUAGAGAAAGGAGAGGGUGUUAUAUAGAGAGGAGGUAGAGAGGAGAGGGAGGUAUGUAGAGAGGAGAGGGUGUUGUAUAGAGAGAGGAGAGGGUGUUAUAUAGAGAGAAGGAGGUGGAGAGGGAGUUAUAUAGAGAGAGGAGAGGGUGUUAUAUAGAGAGAGGAGAGGGUGUUAUAUAGAGAGAGGAGAGGGUGUUAUAUAGAGAGAGGAGAGGGUGUUAUAUAGAGAGAGGAUAGGGUGUUAUAUAGAGAGAGGGAGGUAGAGAGGAGAGGGAGAUAUAUAGAGAGAAGCAGGUGGAGAGAGAGUUAUAUAGAGAGAGGAGAGGGUGUUAUGUAGAGAGAGGAGAGGGUGUUAUGUAGAGAGGAGAGGGAGUUAUAUAGAGAGAGGAGAGGGUGUUAUAUAGAGAGAGGAGAGGGUGUUAUAUAGAGAGAGG
rnacentral:lncRNA from 1 species